rnacentral:rRNA from 1 species
GAUGAACGCUAACGGCAGGCUUAACACAUGCAAGUCGAGGGGUAUAGUAGCAAUACUAGAGACCGGCGCACGGGUGCGUAACGCGUAUGCAACCUACCUUGAACAGGGGGAUAGCCCAGAGAAAUUUGGAUUAAUACCCCAUGGUAUAUUGAUGUGGCAUCACAUUAUUAUUAAAGUUCCAACGGUUCAAGAUGGGCAUGCGUCCCAUUAGCUAGAUGGUAAGGUAACGGCUUACCAUGGCGACGAUGGGUAGGGGUCCUGAGAGGGAGAUCCCCCACACUGGUACUGAGACACGGACCAGACUCCUACGGGAGGCAGCAGUGAGGAAUAUUGGUCAAUGGGCGCAAGCCUGAACCAGCCAUGCCGCGUGCAGGAUGAAGCAUCUAUGGUGUGUAAACUGCUUUUGUACGGGAAGAAACCCUUGCUUGAGAGCAAGAUUGACGGUACCGUAAGAAUAAGGAUCGGCUAACUCCGUG